AUGAUGAUUGAUCCGCCGUGCGCACGCCAGCGCGUUCCUCUGUGGCAGGAGAGGGGGGCCUGCGUGUGACCGAGCGUGCGUGGGAGGACGCGCGUGUGUGUCUGUGCGCCCUGAUCACGGUGGUCUGUGGGUGGGGCGGAUCGUGCGCGCGCGCCCGAUCUGUGCGCCCCAAGCCAGGAGCCUUGCCUUACUGGUACCAGUACCUGCCUGCUGCUACCAACUAGUCAACAUGUGGCAUCUUCCAGGCCACUGUGAUGAGUCAGGGAUGAGCAUCUGACUCUGGUUGGUCCAAUCAGCUUGUCCAGGGACUUUGGCUGGGAAGAUUGGAAAGGAGGCCAGCUUUUUGGGCUGGGGUUGCUGAGAGAUGUGAUGAUGAAAUGUGUGGCCUACCUGGCAUCUGGCCCCAGCUUCAGCUCCAUUUACUGUCUUGCUCCCCACCCUCACUAGCCUGCAUUGAGGCCUCCUCUGUGCCCCCCAACCCCUGAGUUUCUCAUCCCCAGAGAGCCCAGCUACACAGAAUUGAAGGGUUUUCUCAUUCAUCUUCCUGCGCUCACCCUGAAGACUGGGCCUAUGUCAUCUGCUAACCACUGUCCCCCCAGCACUCACAGUGGAAAAUGGAGUGUUAUGCAGCCCUGCAGCUUGCCUUCUAGAACAGUUCACAGGCAAGGCCUCCCACACUGAACCCUGCUACAGCCAGAUGGUGCCAGCAACACAGAGCUACUUGUUACAUCAGCUCAGACUAAGCCACACCCACAGGAGCAUCUGGUGAUUCCACAGAACCACAAGAGACUUGACCUCCUGGAAAUGAAUUAACCAAGAUUAAUGAAAAAGAUUAAGGUCAUGUGCCCUGUAAAAAUGUCCCUCACUGGAUGAACUGUGACAAAGUAGGGUACUGCGUGGUCUCCCCAGCUGACCCUCUCCAUGGGUCAUUCUUUGCUUUUAUCACUACCUGGCACAAAUCUUUACGUAUUUGUUUAUCGUCUUCCCUCCACCAGUAGUUAGGUGUUUGCCCUUGCUGUAUCCCCUGUGCCUAGAACAGUGCCCAACAUUGGCAGGUGGCCAAUAAUUGCAAAAUAAGCAAAUGUAUGAAUGAACCAUUAGGAACUGCUACCAUCACUGCAGGGGGCUUGGUGGGCAGAGGCCUGGCUUGUCUCCAUUAGCACUGCGUUCCUGUGCCCAGUGUGGCCCCAGCAGACACUGUGGGUUCAGUCAAUCAGCCCCCAGGCUGGUCUGGGACUGAGUCAUCGGAGGGAGUGUGAAGGGGACACUGCGGCUGACCGCCUGGUGACAGCUAGCCAGUGGUUGAGAGACCGCAAGAUGGUUCCUCGUCUUUCACUUCCCUCCGUCCCAGGCCAGUAAGGAUCCUGCUGUCUAUUCCGCGAAGACAUCUUGAAUGCAGGGACAGCCAUUUGGAAGACUGUCCUCGAGGGUGGCAGCAGCCUCUCAGGACGGGGAAAG
rnacentral:lncRNA from 1 species